AGAGGACAUUAGAAAGUGGAUAUUGGCACUUAUCUGCUUAAGUUAGUCAAUUUGGGAAAACUGACAAGGAAAAGAAAAGCAGGUUUCUCAUUCACAACUCUGGUGAUUUUACUUUGAACAAUCAUUUUGUUUUAAUCAUUCCUACAAACUAGAAUGAACAUAGCUUUAGGGACUUAACUGACCCAGAUAUAUGAGAAUUUCACACAGUGAAAAUUCAUUAAAAUUAGGUGCUAUUUUAUGUUAUUUAAUAAUGAGCUAAUACUGUAACUUAUAUGCUGUUAAAUGAGAUUAUGCUUUACUUAUCUAAAAAUUGAUAAAUUUGUGUAAAUCUUUUAAGCUGCGAAGUUUUAAGAAAUGUGAAAAUCCCUACACUCUGAAAGGUAAACCUAACACUACCCUUCUUCCUCCAGUCUGUGAUAGGAUAUUGCAGGAUGGCGACGGGUUCCUGCAGAACCAGUGUAGCCCUGGUGUCCCGUGUCUGUUUCUUUGGGCAUGUCUUCCACUCCACUGCAGAGUCCGCUAUUCCGCCCCUGGCGUCAGUGUCUGCGCGGGUGCGCGUCCCAGGGUCACGUCCACUGGGACAGGAGGCGUGUGGGGUUUGGGUGCCCUUGUGGAAAAGGUGGAGAAGAAGGGUUUGGAGCAGUGGAAUCAGCACGAGAGCCCGAGUCAUACACAGGACGGAUGAACAAGGCCCUGCUGUCUGGCACAGGGAACUGUACUCCCUACCCUGGGACGAACCGUAACGGGAAGGAACAUGAAGACGACUACGUGGGUCCAGCAAAGUCCCUUGGCGCUACAGCAGGAAUGAACAGCACACUGUAAAUCAGCUGCAUUUCAGUAAAAUCUUCUUAAAAAUGAGGGUCCCGGUGAUUCACGUGCAUUAAUCGGCAGUAUUGCAAAAAUGCCCUCAUACUGCCCACAAUUACAGGGAUCUUCUCAUGUGUGAUCUUCUCAGCCUCGUAAACUGCAUCACAGACACACACGAGUCCAUGCAAAGUCAACGCAAGAAUUAUCUCAGAAUGAAGUUGUCACCUCUCCAAGAGGGAGUUGGGGAUGGCAGGCGAUAGGAGCUGUUUUUAGACAGGACAUGCCCAGGUCUGCCAGGGCACAGAUGCUUCAUUUUCGUUUAAUGAUUCCUCCUCCUCUCCCGUGUGAGCUUUCUUGCUGAGAGGGAGCCUUUUUCGCCUACGUUCUAAAUCCUCCUGUUCUGAUCUUUGGGUUUUGAUCCCCCUUGAUAUUUAGCAUAAACUAAGAAGAAGAACAUUUAUCAGAAAGGCAUGGGAUGUGAGACUAGAAAUGUAGGCAGGAGCUUAGAUCACUAAGGGCCUGAGGCUGAACUGAGAUGGGGUUUUGUUCUGAAAGCUCUAAGAAGUGCUGAGGUGUCAGAGGAAGCAGCGUCCUAAGCCAAAUAAUCGCUUUGUUUUAUGCUUUAGACGCUUUCUCUGGCAGCAGUGGGCUUGACGGCUGGGACAGGGGUGUCUUAGAAGAGGCAGAGAAGUCUCUCCGGAGGCUAACAUUAAAAUCUCUCUAAGAGCAGGAGUCUAACUAAGGCUUAUGUGGGACUUGGUGACAGCAGCUGUGGAGAACGGGUGGGAAGUAUCAGAGGUAACUACCAGGUUACUGGGUAGACAACUGGAUUGACGAAUUCAUCCAAGCAGCGCAUGCUUUGACUUAAUCAUUGUUCUAGAUACUGGACUGCUACUGUAAAAGCCAGAUGAAGUUCUACCCUGAUGGACUUAAUUUUUCAACCAGGCAGUCGAGCAAUAGGCAAUUGUAAAUAUACCUGUUUUUCCCCUAAAAGUUCAGCGUUGUGAAGAAGGACUAAAGCCCAGAGAGGCGUCGGAGAGCUAGAGAGAGAGGGGCAGGAGGAUGACUGCUUUGGAGCGUGGUCAGGGACAUGUCUCCGAGCAGGUCCCAUGCGAGCCUGGGUCUGAGUGAACUAAGGGUGCAGAGCGUUCUGAUCAGAGAGAAACCUAAGUGCAAACACUUGACUUAAACAUGAGUUCCGUGAUUUUAAGGAAUGAGAAACGGUCGGUGUGGCUGGAGCAGACGUGGGAUGCAGUGAAAGGAGAGGAGUCAGGCGAGAAGGGUGCUGAUGACAGAGGCUUCGGGCGCCACGGAAAGGUGUGCGUGUGUUUUCAGUCUGAGGGGAAGCCACCGAAGGACGCCGUGAUGUACCGUAUACUGUAAAAAUAUUCCUCAGACGCUGGUGGCGUUGCGGGACCGUCAUGAAAAAGGCCCUGAAGUAAGAAAAAUGAAUGUGAAAGAAAAUGUAUUGAGUUAGCAGUGCUUGGGGGAUAGCGAAGCUCUCGGGGAUAAAUUCAACAGGGAAUUGGAUGUGCAAACCCAGAAGAGAGGUUUGUGAGUCAGCAUAUGUGGUUCUCGAAACCAUGGUUUGGAUGAAGUCAUUAGGCUCGAUAUUUACAGUAAAGAGAGCAGGGCAUUGUCUUGGCAACACCAUGCUGGAUUCUCUACUGAAGAAGCACGUAGGUAAAGGAGACGCAUCAGCUCUGCUGUGAGGCUCCCCAGGCCUCCCUAAAAGCGCUGCCCUCAAACUCGGCCUCUCAGUCUCUAGGUGGCUGCUCUUGGGAAGAUCGUUUAAGUUCUCAGGGACUUGUUUUUAUAACCGGCAGAUGGUUAGGAAGAGUAGCUGUUUCAUUAUGUUGUUAUGAGAACUAUGUGGCUCAAUACAGUAAACUCUUAGCACAGCGCCUGUGCAUAGAAUUUAAUAAAUGCUCUUCUUCAAGAAAAAGCAAGUCCUCUAAUAAAGUGCCUGGUCGGCAACCCGGAUCCUUUAAGUGGCCACUCAUCUCUGAGGUGACACACGCUAGGUUGCUUCUGCGGCCAUAGGGCCACUCGCAAAACAAGCAAUUACCGUGGACAACUAAGUUCUCUCCUACUGUGUUCACUGGCACCAAAUUUGGUGAUUAAGGUAAUGCUAGACAGUCUGUUCUCUUCUGGAAGCCUUUCUCUCGUCUCGCCUGCUCUCCUGGCCCUCUCAUCUGUGCCGCUUGGCCUGGAGACUCUCUCCUGGCAGACCUCAUGUGAUGGCACUUGGCUUUGCUGCACUUGGCAGAUAUCGCAUAUUUGCUCAAAGUGAAGUCUGGUGGCGACCCUGGUCGGUCAAGCCUGUCGCUGCCAUUUUUCCAACAGCAUUUGCUCACUUCAUGUCUGUGUGUCACCUUUUGGAGAGUCUCGGAGUAUUUCAAACCUUGUCUUUAUUAUAUUUAUGGCGGUGAUCUGUGAUUAGUGUUCUUGGUACUGUUGCCAAAAAACGUACAACUUAAGGCUCAGAUGAUGGUUAGCAUUUUUUAGCGAUAAAGUAGUUUUUAAUUAAAGUAUGCACAUUAUUUUUUAGACAUGAUGUUCUUGCAUAAUCGCUGUAAGUACAGUGUACACAUAAUUUUUUAUUCCCUGGGAAACUAAGCAAUUUGGGUGACUCACUUUGUUCCAGCAUUCGCUUGACUGCAGUGGUCGGGAGCAGAGCCUGCUGCCUCUCCGAGGCAGGCCCACAUUCUCUCUUCAGUCAACAUCCACUCAGGGCAUCUGCUAAACACGCCCACAGCGAGAUGUGAAAGGUUAGGACUAGAGUAAC
rnacentral:lncRNA from 9 species